rnacentral:rRNA from 1 species
GGAGUUCAGACGUGUGCUCUUCCGAUCUCUCCACCCAGACUCAUCCAUCUCGCAACCCAUAGAGAGUUUCUGUUGGUGCCGAUAUUGUCCUAUUUAGAAACCUGGGAGAAAAGUUCCGGCGCUUUGAGAGGGGGCUGCGAGCCAUCAGCUAGUUGGUGCGGUAACGGCGUACCAAGGCGACGACGGCUAGGAGGCCUGAGAGGGUGACCUCCCACACUGGAACUGAGACACGGUCCAGACUCCUACGGGAGGCAGCAGUGAGGAAUAUUGCACAAUGGGCGCAAGCCUGAUGCAGCGACGCCGCGUGAGUGAUGAAGGCCUUCGGGUCGUAAAGCUCUUUUCUAGGUGACGAGAAUGGACGGUAGCCUAGGAAUAAGUGUCGGCUAACUACGUGCCAGCAGCCGCGGUAAAACGUAGGACACAAGCGUUAUCCGGAGUUACUGGGCGUAAAGGGCGUGUAGGCGGACAUGUAAGUCUACUCUGAAAGCUUCUGGCUAAACUGGAAGAGGCGAGUGGAGACUGCAAGUCUAGAGUGAGGAAGAGGAAAGUGGAAUUCCGCGUGUAGUGGUGAAAUGCGUAGAGAUGCGGAGGAACACCAGUGGCGAAAGCGGCUUUCUGGUCCUUAACUGACGCUGAGGCGCGAAAGCAUGGGGAGCGAACGGGAUUAGAAACCCCGGUAGUCCAUGCCGUAAACGAUGUUCACUAAACGUUCGUUUCCCGCGAGGGAAGCGGGUGUUGAAGCUAACGCAGUAAGUGAACCGCCUGGGGAGUACGGUCGCAAGGCUAAAACUCAAAGGAAUUGACGGGGGACCGCACAAGCAGCGGAGCGUGUGGUUUAAUUCGAGCCUACGCGAAGAACCUUACCUAGGUUUGACAUCGCACUGAAGACUGUGUGAAAGCAUGGUUGUCCCGCAAGGGACAGUGUGACAGGUGCUGCAUGGCUGUCGUCAGCUCGUGCCGUGAGGUGUUCGGUUAAGUCCGCAAACGAGCGCAACCCUCGGUGCCAGUUACAAGUGUCUGGCGCGACUGCCCGUGGCAAACGGGAGGAAGGUGGGGAUGACGUCAAGUCAGCAUGGCCUUUAUAUCUAGGGCUACACACACGCUACAAUGGCGCGUACAAUGGGUCGCGAACCUGCGAAGGGGAGCCAAUCCUAAAAAGCGCGUCUCAGUUCAGAUUGCAGGCUGCAACCCGCCUGCAUGAAGUUGGAGUUGCUAGUAACCGCGCGUCAGCAGAGUGCGGUGAAUACGUUCCCGGUCCUUGUACACACCGCCCGUCACGUCAUGAGAGCUGGUGACGCCUGAAGUCGGGAAGCUAACCGCAAGGGGGCUACUGCCGAGGGCAGCACUGGUGAUUGGGACGAAGUCGUAACAAGGUAGCUGUAGCGGAAGCUGCGGCUG